GAUGAACGCUGGCGGCGUGCCUAAUACAUGCAAGUCGAGCGAACAGACGAGGAGCUUGCUCCUCUGACGUUAGCGGCGGACGGGUGAGUAACACGUGGAUAACCUACCUAUAAGACUGGGAUAACUUCGGGAAACCGGAACUAAUACCGGAUAAUAUAUUGAACCGCAUGGUUCAAUAGUGAAAGACGGUUUUGCUGUCACUUAUAGAUGGAUCCGCGCCGCAUUAGCUAGUUGGUAAGGUAACGGCUUACCAAGGCAACGAUGCGUAGCCGACCUGAGAGGGUGAUCGGCCACACUGGAACUGAGACACGGUCCAGACUCCUACGGGAGGCAGCAGUAGGGAAUCUUCCGCAAUGGGCGAAAGCCUGACGGAGCAACGCCGCGUGAGUGAUGAAGGUCUUCGGAUCGUAAAACUCUGUUAUUAGGGAAGAACAAAUGUGUAAGUAACUAUGCACGUCUUGACGGUACCUAAUCAGAAAGCCACGGCUAACUACGUG
rnacentral:rRNA from 1 species